UGUCAAAUCAUCACGUCCCUUAUGUCUUGGGCUACACACGUACUACAAUGACUACUACAAAGAGAAGCGAAACCGCGAGGUGGAGCAAAACUGAAAAAAGUAGUCCUAGUUCGGAUUGAAGGCUGCAACUCGCCUUCAUGAAGCUGGAAUUGCUAGUAAUCAUAGGUCAGCAUACUAUGGUGAAUACGUUCCCGGGCCUU
rnacentral:rRNA from 1 species